rnacentral:rRNA from 1 species
GACGAACGCUGGCGGCGUGCUUAACACAUGCAAGUCGAACGGAAAGGCCCUGCUUUUGUGGGGUGCUCGAGUGGCGAACGGGUGAGUAACACGUGAGUAACCUGCCCUUGACUUUGGGAUAACUUCAGGAAACUGGGGCUAAUACCGGAUAGGAGCUCCUGCUGCAUGGUGGGGGUUGGAAAGUUUCGGCGGUUGGGGAUGGACUCGCGGCUUAUCAGCUUGUUGGUGGGGUAGUGGCUUACCAAGGCUUUGACGGGUAGCCGGCCUGAGAGGGUGGCCGGCAACAUUGGGACUGAGAUACGGCCCAGACUCCUACGGGAGGAAGCAGUGGGGAAUAUUGCACAAUGGGCGGAAGCCUGAUGCAGCAACGCCGCGUGCGGGAUGACGGCCUUCGGGUUGUAAACCGCUUUCGCCUGUGACGAAGCGUGAGUGACGGUAAUGGGUAAAGAAGCGCCGGCUAACUACGUG